CGUUGGUGAACCAGCGG
rnacentral:rRNA from 1 species